UACGUAGGGUGCGAGCGUUGCCCGGAUUUAUUGGGCGUAAAGGGCGCGUAGGCGGCCACGCACGUCCGUUGUGAAAUCGCCCGGCUCAACUGGGCGAGGUCGGCGGAUACGGCGUGGCUGGAGCAAGCUAGGGGGCAAUGGAAUUCCCGGUGUAGUGGUGGAAUGCGUAGAUAUCGGGAGGAACACCAGUGGCGAAGGCGGUUGCCUGGAGCUUUGCUGACGCUGAGGCGCGAAAGCGUGGGGAGCGAUCCGG
rnacentral:rRNA from 1 species